CCUACGGGAGGCAGCAGUGGGGAAUUUUGGACAAUGGGGGCAACCCUGAUCCAGCCAUGCUGCGUGUCUGAAGAAGGCCUUCGGGUUGUAAAGGACUUUUGUCCGGGAAGAAAAGCGCGAUGUUAAUACCAUUGCGUGGUGACGGUCCCGGAAGAAUAAGCACCGGCUAAUUACGUGCCAGCAGCCGCGGUAAU
rnacentral:rRNA from 1 species